rnacentral:rRNA from 1 species
CCUACGGGGGGCAGCAGUAGGGAAUCUUCCGCAAUGGGCGCAAGCCUGACGGUAGCAACGCCGCGUAGAGUGAUAGAAGGCCUUCGGGUUGUAAAACUCUGU